rnacentral:rRNA from 1 species
AGCAGCCGCGGUAAUUCCAGCUCCAAUAGCGUAUAUUAAAGUUGUUGCAGUUAAAAAGCUCGUAGUUGAAUUUCGGGAUCAAUUUGCUGGUCGUGCCUCUGGUACGUACUGGUAUUAUUGGUUUCUCCCUUCUGACGAACCAUGAUGUCAUUAAUUUGAUGUCGUGGAGAAUCAGGACUGUUACUUUGAAAAAUUAGAGUGUUUAAAGCAGGCAUUAGCUUGAAUACAUUAGCAUGGAAUAAUGAAAUAGGACGUUUGAUCCUAUUUUGUUGGUUUCUAGGAUUGACGUAAUGAUUAAUAGGGAUAGUUGGGGGCAUUAGUAUUCAAUUGUCAGAGGUGAAAUUCCUGGAUUUAUUGAAGACUAACUACUGCGAAAGCAUUUGCCAAGGAUGUUUUCAUUAAUCAAGAACGAAAGUUAGGGGAUCGAAGACGAUCAGAUACCGUCGUAGUCUUAACCAUAAACUAUGCCGACUAGGGAUCGGAUGAUGUUAAUUUUUAAUGA